rnacentral:rRNA from 1 species
CCCUGCCAUUUGUACACACCGCCCGUCGCACCUACCGAUUGAAUGGUCCGGUGAAGUCUUCGGACUGGUUUCAUUCUUGAGAUGAGACUGGGAAGUUGACUAAACCUUACCAUUUAGAGGAAGGUGAAGUCGUAACAAGGUUUCCGUAGGUGA